GAGACCCACGCCAACAGUUGCCAGCAUGUCCUCCGGGAUGGUGGGGACACUGUUGGGACCGCCUCUGCUAAAGAGGAGGAAGGAAUGGGCAACGGUAGGUCAGCAUGCCCCGAAUUAUCCGGGCUACACGCGGGCUACAAUGGUCAGGACAAUGGUUAUCGACACCGAGAGGUGAAGGCAAUCUCUUAAACCUGUCCUUAGUUCGGAUUGUGGGCUGCAACUCGCCCACAUGAAGCUGGAAUCCGUAGUAAUCGCGUCUCAAAAUGGCGCGGUGAAUAU
rnacentral:rRNA from 1 species